GACGAACGCUGGCGGCGUGCUUAACACAUGCAAGUGGAGCGACGAACCAGGCUUCGGCCUGGGGCAAAGCCGCGAACGGGUGAGUAACACGUGGGUAACCUGCCCUGAUGACCGGGACAACCCGAGGAAACUCGGGCUAAUACCGGAUGUGCUCCCACCACACCAGUGGUGUGAGUAAAGGUAGCUUCGGCCUCCGCAUCGGGAUGGGCCCGGCGGCGCAUUAGCUUGUUGGGUGGGGAAAGGUCCGUACCAACGGCAACGAUGCGUAGCUGGUCUGAGAGGAC
rnacentral:rRNA from 1 species